rnacentral:rRNA from 1 species
UGAACGCUGGCGGUAUGCCUUACACAUGCAAGUCGUACGAGAGUUUUUAACUCAAGUGGCGGACGGGUGAGUAACACGUAAGAAUUUGCCUUUAGGAGGGGGAUAACAUUUAGAAAUGGAUGCUAAUACCCCAUAUGCUUUCGAGUGAAACGGAAUUUUCCGCCUAGAGAGAAGCUUGCGGCUGAUUAGCUUGUUGGUGAGGUAAUGGCUCACCAAGGCGACGAUCAGUAUCUGGUUUGAGAGGACGAUCAGACACACUGGAACUGAGACACGGUCCAGACUCCUACGGGAGGCAGCAGUGGGGAAUUUUCCGCAAUGGGCGAAAGCCUGACGGAGCAAUACCGCGUGAGGGAUGACGGCCUAUGGGUUGUAAACCUCUUUUUUCAGGGAGGAAUCAAAUGACGUGUACCUGAAGAAUAAGCAUCGGCUAACUCC